UGCAUCAAUGCUCACACAUGUUGUGGUGAUGGCUGAUGUGGCGGCCGCCUCCGGCAGCUUCACACAGCAGGAAAUGAUAGGCGGAAGUCACCUGCGGUUGGCGCGUAGUAUGUUCUUUCGAAGUCGCACCGAGCCCAGAGUGUGCCUCCGGCCAUGGCCCCUCCAGGCCCCAUUAUCAAUAAC
rnacentral:misc_RNA from 1 species